UACGUAGGGUGCAAGCGUUGUUCGGAAUCAUUGGGCGUAAAGCGUGUGUAGGUUGUUUAUCAAGUUGAUUGUGAAAUCCCUCGGCUCAACCGAGGAAGUGCAGUCAAAACUAAUAGGCUAGAGGACAGCAGAGGAUGGUGGAAUUCCAGGUGUAGAGGUGAAAUUCGUAGAUAUUUGGAGGAAUACCGGCGGCGAAGGCGGCCAUCUGGACUGUUCCUGACACUGAGACACGAAAGCGUGGGUAGCAAACAGG
rnacentral:rRNA from 1 species